rnacentral:tRNA from 1 species
GGGGUUGUGGCUCAGUGGUAGAGUGCUUGCCUACCACAGGCAAGGCGCUGAGUUCAAUCCUCAGCACCA